UACCAGCACCCCGAGUGGUCGGGACGAUUAUUGGGCCUAAAGCAUCCGUAGCCGGUUUUACAAGUCUUCCGUUAAAUCCAACUGCUUAACAGGUGGGCCGCGGAGGAUACUAUAAGACUAGGAGGCAGGAGAGGCAAGCGGUACUCAGUGGGUAGGGGUAAAAUCCGUUGAUCCAUUGAAGACCACCUGUGGCGAAGGCGGCGACCUGGGUAGAUACUGACGCUGAGGCGCGAAAGCGUGGGGAGCAAACAGG
rnacentral:rRNA from 1 species